rnacentral:tRNA from 1 species
UAGUUCAGUGGUAGAACAUCACCUUGCCAAGGUGGGGGUCGCGGGUUCGAACCCC